GCAAGAAGAGAGCGGAGCCUCGCAGGCUAACCGGGGGGAAGCUAGCGGACGGGAGCGUGAGAGAGACAGAGGUUUUUGUUGCUGCCGAUAGAGACUGAGUUUUUGCUGCUGCCGAGAGAGACAGAUGUUUUGCUGCUGCUGAGAGUGACGGAGUUUUUCUUCGCCGCUGCUGAGUUAAACAGAGUUCUUGCUGCUGCCGUAGGAGACCGAGGUUUUCUCGCUGCGAGCUGCUGGGUGCGGAAACGGUCGCCACCGCGACGAGGGAGCCAAUCAUCAGCUGAUAUUGAAGAAGAGUGAGGCUUCAUCUUGUAGUAUAAGGUGGGUUUCUUAAUACACGAGCUGGUGGUAAAAGGGUUACACAGAGAACACAUCCAUCCAAGUUGAAAGUCUGCACUGACCUUGUGGCAGCAUGGAAGGGGACUCUGGAGCCAGAAAAAACCCCAAGCAAGCAAGCAAGCAAAAAUAUCUGACUCUAUUGCACUGGGUGGUACCAAACAUGUGGCACAAGCAAAAGUUGAGAAGAUUCUGAUUAACUUCAUUUGUGAAGACCUCUGUUCUUAUACAGUAAGAUGUGAAUAAAAGCUCAGGCAUGAAUCAA